rnacentral:rRNA from 1 species
AGCAGCCGCGGUAAUUCCCGCUCCAAUAGCGUAUAUUAAAGUUGUUGCAGUUAAAAAGCUCGUAGUUGAAUUUCGGGAUCAGUUGGUCGGUCGUGCCUCGGUACGUACUGGUCAAAUUGAUUCCUACCUUCUGACGAACCACGAUGUCAUUAAUUUGGUGUCGCGGGAAAUCAGGACUGUUACUUUGAAAAAAUUAGAGUGUUUAAAGCAGGCUCGCGCUUGAAUACAUUAGCAUGGAAUAAUGAAAUAGGACGUUUGAUUCUAUUUUGUUGGUUUCUAGGAUCGACGUAAUGAUUAAUAGGGAUAGUUGGGGGCAUUAGUAUUCAAUUGUCAGAGGUGAAAUUCUUGGAUUUAUUGAAGACUAACUACUGCGAAAGCAUUUGCCAAGGAUGUUUUCAUUAAUCAAGAACGAAAGUUAGGGGAUCGAAGACGAUCAGAUACCGUCGUAGUCUUAACCAUAAACUAUGCCGACUAGGGAUCGGAUGAUGUUAAUUUAAUGACUCA